GAUAGCUCUGCCUGCCCAUGUUUCCCAGGCUCAGACAACCCAGGGACAUGGGAUGGUAGUCAUCGCCCCCUUCUGUAACAUUGGCUCGGGUGAUGAGGCACUCUGGGAAGGGAGAAGAAAGAUGAGAAAGGAUUCCUCCCUCUUCUCUAUUGAGUACUCUGGCAAACAUCACUAUAGCUAUGAUAGUUGAUAGACAAAGAAAAAUACAGCUUUCAAAUAGGAGGCAUGAGCUUAUAGGAGAUUAACCAUCCUUCAUUAUCCAAGACAUCUAUAUCCCUCUGUUCUAAGGUCUCUGUUAAUGGCCUGAAAACUAGAAAUCAGCUGCCGAAAAGCAGAGGUUAUGCCCCAAAUCAUGUAAGUUUUGACUGCCAUGUCAGUAGAAUAAUAAACACGCAUUAGCACUGCCCAGUCUUAUGAAUGGCCCAAUCAC